rnacentral:tRNA from 6 species
GUAGGCAUAGUUUAACUAAAACAUUAGAUUGUGAUUCUAAGGACAGAGGUUAAAGUCCUCUUGCCCACC